rnacentral:rRNA from 1 species
UACGAAGGGGGCUAGCGUUGCUCGGAAUUACUGGGCGUAAAGGGCGCGUAGGCGGAUAUUUAAGUCGGGGGUGAAAGCCCGGGGCUCAACCUCGGAAUUGCCUUCGAUACUGGAUAUCUUGAGUUCGGGAGAGGUGAGUGGAAUGCCGAGUGUAGAGGUGAAAUUCGUAGAUAUUCGGCGGAACACCAGUGGCGAAGGCGACUCACUGGCCCGACACUGACGCUGAGGCGCGAAAGCGUGGGGAGCAAACAGG